GAUGAAGAACGUAGCGAAAUGCGAUAAGUAGUGUGAAUUGCAGAAUUCAGUGAAUCAUCGAAUCUUUGAACGCACAUUGCGCCCUUUGGUAUUCCUUAGGGCAUGCCUGUUCGAGCGUCAUUUAAACCUUCAAGCUAAGCUUGGUGUUGGGUGACUGUCCGCUUCACGGCGGACUCGCCUCAAAAUUAUUGGCGGCCGGUACAUUGGCUUCGAGCGCAGCAGAAACGCGAACUCGGGCCCGUCGUAUUGGCUCCCAGAAGCUAUCUUCACAAUUGUGACCUCGGAUCAGGUAGGGAUACCCGCUGAACUUAAGCAUAUCAAUAAGCGGAGGA
rnacentral:misc_RNA from 1 species